GGAGGCUAUAAUGUCAGUCGAGCGGAAACGAGUUAUCUGAACCUUCGGGGAACGAUAACGGCGUCGAGCGGCGGACGGGUGAGUAAUGCCUAGGAAAUUGCCCUGAUGUGGGGGAUAACCAUUGGAAACGAUGGCUAAUACCGCAUAAUACCUUCGGGUCAAAGAGGGGGACCUUCGGGCCUCUCGCGUCAGGAUAUGCCUAGGUGGGAUUAGCUAGUUGGUGAGGUAAUGGCUCACCAAGGCGACGAUCCCUAGCUGGUCUGAGAGGAUGAUCAGCCACACUGGAACUGAGACACGGUCCAGACUCCUACGGGAGGCAGCAGUGGGGAAUAUUGCACAAUGGGCGCAAGCCUGAUGCAGCCAUGCCGCGUGUGUGAAGAAGGCCUUCGGGUUGUAAAGCACUUUCAGUCGUGAGGAAGGUAGUGUAGUUAAUAGCUGCAUUAUUUGACGUUAGCGACAGAAGAAGCACCGGCUAACUCCGUGCCAGCAGCCGCGGUAAUACGGAGGGUGCGAGCGUUAAUCGGAAUUACUGGGCGUAAAGCGCAUGCAGGUGGUUUGUUAAGUCAGAUGUGAAAGCCCGGGGCUCAACCUCGGAAUAGCAUUUGAAACUGGCAGACUAGAGUACUGUAGAGGGGGGUAGAAUUUCAGGUGUAGCGGUGAAAUGCGUAGAGAUCUGAAGGAAUACCGGUGGCGAAGGCGGCCCCCUGGACAGAUACUGACACUCAGAUGCGAAAGCGUGGGAGCAAACAGGAUUAGAUACCCUGGUAGUCCACGCCGUAAACGAUGUCUACUUGGAGGUUGUGGCCUUGAGCCGUGGCUUUCGGAGCUAACGCGUUAAGUAGACCGCCUGGGGAGUACGGUCGCAAGAUUAAAACUCAAAUGAAUUGACGGGGGCCCG
rnacentral:rRNA from 1 species